CCUACGGGAGGCAGCAGUAGGGAAUUUUCCGCAAUGGGCGAAAGCCUGACGGAGCAAUACCGCGUGAGGGAUGACUGCCUAUGGGUUGUAAACCUCUUUUUUCAGGGAGGAAUAAAUGACGUGUACCUGAAGAAUAAGCAUCGGCUAACUCCGUGCCAGCAGCCGCGGUAAGACGGAGGAUGCAAGUGUUAUCCGGAAUCACUGGGCGUAAAGCGUCUGUAGGUGGCUCAACAAGUCAACUGUUAAAUCUUGAAGCUCAACUUCAAAAUCGCAGUCGAAACUAUUGAACUAGAGUAUAGUAGAGGUAAAGGGAAUUUCCAGUGGAGCGGUGAAAUGCGUAGAGAUUGGAAAGAACACCAAUGGCGAAGGCACUUUACUGGGCUAUUACUGACACUCAGAGACGAAAGCUAGGGUAGCAAAUGGGAUUAGAUACCCCAGUAGUCCUAGCCGUAAACAAUGGAUACUAGGUGUUGAACAGAUCGACCUGUGCAGUACUAAAAGCUAACGCGUUAAGUAUCCCGCCUGGGAAGUAUGCACGCAAGUGUGAAACUUAAAUGAAUUGACGG
rnacentral:rRNA from 1 species